CGCGUUUUUAGUUCAAUUGGUAGAACGUAGGUUUCCAAAACCUAAUGCCGUGGGUUCAAUUCCUACAAAACGCGA
rnacentral:tRNA from 1 species